rnacentral:rRNA from 1 species
GACGAACGCUGGCGGCGUGCUUAACACAUGCAAGUCGAACGGAAAGGCCCUGCUUUUGUGGGGUGCUCGAGUGGCGAACGGGUGAGUAACACGUGAGUAACCUGCCCUUGACUUUGGGAUAACUUCAGGAAACUGGGGCUAAUACCGGAUAGGAGCUCCUGCUGCAUGGUGGGGGUUGGAAAGUUUCGGCGGUUGGGGAUGGACUCGCGGCUUAUCAGCUUGUUGGUUGGGUAGUGGCUUACCAAGGCUUUGAAGGGUAGCCGGCCUGAGAGGGUGACCGGGCACAUGAGGACUGAGAUACGGACCAGACUCCAAUGGGAGGCAGCAGUGGGGAAUAUUGCACAGUGGGCGGAAGCCUGAUGAGGAGACGCCGCGUGCGGGAUGAAGGCCUUCGGGUUGUAAACCGCUUUCGCCUGUGACGAAGCGUGAGUGACGGUAAUGGGUAAAGAAGCACCGGCUAACUACGUG